rnacentral:rRNA from 1 species
GAUGAACGCUGGCGGCGUGCCUAAUACAUGCAAGUCGAGCGAACAGACGAGAAGCUUGCUUCUCUGAUGUUAGCGGCGGACGGGUGAGAAACACGUGGAUAACCUACCUAUAAGACUGGGAUAACUUCGGGAAACCGGAGCUAAUACCGGAUAAUAUUUUGAACCGCAUGGUUCAAUAGUGAAAGACGGUCUUGCUGUCACUUAUAGAUGGAUCCGCGCUGCAUUAGCUAGUUGGUAAGGUAACGGCUUACCAAGGCAACGAUGCAUAGCCGACCUGAGAGGGUGAUCGGCCACACUGGAACUGAGACACGGUCCAGACUCCUACGGGAGGCAGCAGUAGGGAAUCUUCCGCAAUGGGCGAAAGCCUGACGGAGCAACGCCGCGUGAGUGAUGAAGGUCUUCGGAUCGUAAAACUCUGUUAUUAGGGAAGAACAUAUGUGUAAGUAACUGUGCACAUCUUGACGGUACCUAAUCAGAAAGCCACGGCUAACUACGUG